CAUGGUUCCGGGUGUGUCCCUUCCACAGGAAUGGUCAGUUCAGUCCACAGUGAGGGCCUCAGGCUCUGUGCCAGUGGUAGAUGCAGCUGCCACCUCCCAGAGACUCAGCCCAAGCAAGAGAUCACAUGGGGGCAGAGGACUCCAAUACCGAAGGCAAUGGCCAAGGGAUAGCAGAGUAAGGCCAUGAGCUCCUGUCUCCGAGGGCUGCAGAGAGGACUGGACACGCUGAUGCCCAGCACGUGCCUGGCACCCGGGAGGCCUCCAGACAUGUGGCUUCCCACAAGGGCUAGGGCUGAGCUGUCCAGCACAGCAGCCAGUAGCUGUACAUGAGGACUGAACUUUAAUUAAAAUUAAAUAAAAUUAAAAA